GGGUGGGUUGCUGAGCGGUUUAAGGCAACGGUCUUGAAAAUCGUCGAACCGAAAGGUUCCGUGGGUUCGAAUCCCACCCCACCCGCCA
rnacentral:tRNA from 1 species